rnacentral:rRNA from 1 species
UUAGGAAUUUUGCGCAAUGGGGGAAACCCUGACGCAGCAACGCCGCGUGAAGGAUGAAGGCCCUCGGGUUGUAAACUUCUUUUAGCAGGAAAGAAAAAAAUGACGGUACCUGCAGAAAAAGCACCGGCUAACUCUGUGCCAGCAGCCGCGGUAAUACAGAGGGUGCAAGCGUUAUUCGGAAUUACUGGGCGUAAAGAGCGCGUAGGCGGUUUGUUAAGUUCGUUGUGAAAGCCCUGGACUCAAUCCGGGAAGUGCAGCGAAUACUGUCAAACUAGAGUAUAGGAGAGGAGAGUGGAAUUCCUGGUGUAGAGGUGAAAUUCGUAGAUAUCAGGAGGAACAACAGUGGCGAAGGCGACUCUCUGGACUAUUACUGACGCUGAGGCGCGAAAGCGUGGGGAGC